GCCGGCAGCUAGCUCUCUGCAACUCUCACAUGGUCGCUCACUGAAGCCAAGCAUGGCUGAGCCUGGUUAGUACCUGGAUGGGAGACCACACGAGAAAGCAAGGUUGCUGCCAGGA
ensembl:rRNA 5S_rRNA 5S ribosomal RNA